rnacentral:rRNA from 1 species
UACGUAGGGACCAAGCGUUGUUCGGAUUUACUGGGCGUAAAGGGCGCGUAGGCGGCGCAAUAAGUCACUUGUGAAAUCUCCGGGCUUAACUCGGAGCGGCCAAGUGAUACUGUUGUGCUAGAGUGCAGAAAGGGCAAUCGGAAUUCUCGGUGUAGCGGUGAAAUGCGUAGAUAUCGAGAGGAACACCUGAGGCGAAGGCGGGUUGCUAGGCUGACACUGACGCUGAGGCGCGAAAGCCAGGGGAGCGAACGGG